rnacentral:hammerhead_ribozyme from 1 species
GCAUUGCUGAGGAGUCCCACAAUAGAACGAAAUGGGCGUCCAGUGC